CUGCAGCCCGAGUGGUGAUCGAUUUUAUUGAGCCUAAAGCGUCCGUAGCCGGACUAGUAAACCCUUGGGUAAAUUGGGCAGCUUAACUGUCCAAAUUCCGAGGGGACUGCUAGUCUUGGGACCGGGAGAGGUCAGAGGUACUCCAGGGGUAGGGGCUAAAUCCUGUAAUCCUUGGGGGACCACCAGUGGCGAAGGCGUCUGACUAGAACGGAUCCGACGGUAAGGGACGAAACCCUGGGGCGCGAACCGGAUUAGAGGCCCGAGUAGUCC
rnacentral:rRNA from 1 species